GAGAAUCUCUUGAACCCGGGAGGUGGAGGUUGUAGUGAGCUGAGAUCAUGCCACUGCACUCCAGCCUGGGCAACAGAGUGAGACUCUGUUUCAAACAACAAAGAUGAGUUGAGUGUAGCCCCUAUCCUUCAGAAUCUUCCAGCCAACUUGGGAGAGACUUAAUAGCUAUAGUAGAGGGAUGUGAAAGAUGCUAUGAGAUCUCAGAGGAGGAGAAUUCUAACUCAUCCUCAUGCUUCAGAAAGAGGCUAUUGUCCUGAGACUGAAAGCUCCAAAAUGGAUGGGAGAACUCAAUAAGUUAGGGCUUACUAUAGAAAGGACUGUGCUAGACUCAAGUGUAAUGUGUUGAAUGACUCCAGGUAAUCUAGUGUGCCUCUUCCUGCUUUUCCACUUCAAAGUAAAUUGUUAGAUACAGCAGAGAUGGGCUCUAGAAAGAAGUGGAAGGCCACAUGAUGGCAUGUAUGUAGUUCUGAGGAGGUCGACAUUUGUCUGAUAGAAACAGGAAACAAUUGAACUUGUGACCUUCCUCUUUGGUUGGCCUUUAGAAUAUCAAGUCUGCUCUCCCAACUGUAAGCAGGAGCACAGCCUUGGAGUGACUCCUUAGUGCCACUGAUACCUGGGAAGACUGUUGAUUAUUCAGUGUUUCAGUCCCACCUUUGUCUUGCUUUAACAGGAGCACUAAUUUCCUUUCCUUUUCUCCUUUCCCUUGUCACAAUGAUUCUUUUCAUUUGGUCUACUCCUGUCAUUUUUUUUACCUACCACAAAGUUAGUAGUCCACCAACAUAUCCUUUCCCUUCUCAGAAUGGAGUCCCGCCUGCCAUUUUAUCUUGAGGACCUUAAAAAAUUAAUAACUCUGGUUGUCUAACCUAGGGACUGGAAGAUGACAAAAAUUGUACUACAAAGAAUUGGUAAGGAGUUAUUGUAGCCUAGGUAAGAAAAAAAAUAAGGGUCUUACUAAGACUGGCAGUGGAAAUGGAAAAGAGGUAACACAUUGGAGGGAAAUUUAGGAGGCAGAAUUGACAGGAUCUGAAAUGGUUUGAAUAUUGUUGAGGUAGAGAAGGAGGAUUAGACAAUCCAGACAACUGAAUGGAAGACGGAUAAAAAAAUAAGGGAGAGAAAAGAUAAUUGGUGGGCUUGCAUCUCUGAAGAUAGAAGAAGGGAUUUGAUCUAGAAUGCACAGGAAGAGAUUAGCCUUAAACAGAAAGAAAUUUUUUUUUCUCUGUGGUCUGAAGAGAAGGUCUGGUUGGGAAGAGCAGCCAGUCCACUUGCUUUUAA
rnacentral:lncRNA from 1 species